rnacentral:rRNA from 1 species
AGAGAGAGACAUGCGCGCAUAUCAAUAAGCGGAGGAAAAGAAACUAACAAGGAUUCCCCUAGUAACGGCGAGUGAAGCGGGAAGAGCUCAAAUUUGAAAUCUUCAAGGUUCUACCUUGACGAAUUGUAGUUUAAAGAAGUGUUUUCUGUUGGAGUUUUGGUAAAAGUUCUUUGGAAUAGGACAUCAUAGAGGGUGAGAAUCCCGUAUUUGACCUUUACUUUCAACUUUGUGAUACACUUUCAAAGAGUCGGAUUGUUUGGGAAUGCAGUCCAAAAUGGGUGGUAAAUUUCAUCUAAAGCUAAAUAUUGGCGAGAGACCGAUAGCGAACAAGUACCGUGAGGGAAAGAUGAAAAGAACUUUGAAAAGAGAGUUAAACAGUACGUGAAAUUGUCAAAAGGGAAGCGUUUGACACCAGUGUUGUUUUUCUGAAAAUCAAUUAAAGAACUGUUUAUGCUAAGCUGUUUAGACUUUAUCAGCUAACUGUUUAGUUUUGAGCUUUUCUUUAAUGCACUUUUCAGUUAACAAGUCAACAUCAAUUUCUUUUGCUGUAAAAAAGCUUGAGGAAGGUGGCUUGAGAUUCGUCUUAAGUGUUGAUAGCCUCUUGCCUAUGCAGUCGGAGAGAUUGAGGUCUGCAGCGUAGAUCCUUCGGGGCUAAAUGCAUUUGUGCUAAGUUAUAGCAUUUUAUAGACAACUUGUUGACUAUGAUUUGUCUUGUAGCUUACUCGCUUAUGUUAUUUUACCUACGCUUAGGAUGUUGAAGACUCUACAGAGAUA